AGACCGCCAGCUAAGGUCCCAAAGUCAUGGUUAAGUGGGAAACGAUGUGGGAAGGCCCAGACAGCCAGGAUGUUGGCUUAGAAGCAGCCAUCAUUUAAAGAAAGCGUAAUAGCUCACUGGUCGAGUCGGCCUGCGCGGAAGAUGUAACGGGGCUAAACCAUGCACCGAAGCUGCGGCAGCGACGCUGAUGCGUUGUUGGGUAGGGGAGCGUUCUGUAAGCCUGCGAAGGUGUGCUGUGAGGCAUGCUGGAGGUAUCAGAAGUGCGAAUGCUGACAUAAGUAACGAUAAAGCGGGUAAAAAGCCCGCUCGCCGGAAGACCAAGGGUUCCUGUCCAACGUUAAUCGGGGCAGGGUGAGUCGACCCCUAAGGCGAGGCCGAAAGGCGUAGUCGAUGGGAAACAGGUUAAUAUUCCUGUACUUGGUGUUACUGCGAAGGGGGGACGGAGAAGGCUAUGUUGGCCGGGCGACGGUUGUCCCGGUUUAAGCGUGUAGGCUGGUUUUCCAGGCAAAUCCGGAAAAUCAAGGCUGAGGCGUGAUGACGAGGCACUACGGUGCUGAAGCAACAAAUGCCCUGCUUCCAGGAAAAGCCUCUAAGCAUCAGGUAACAUCAAAUCGUACCCCAAACCGACACAGGUGGUCA
rnacentral:rRNA from 1 species